rnacentral:lncRNA from 1 species
CUUCGUAGAAAAAUUAAAAUUCACUCUAAUGGAUGAGAGCUAAAAUGUGUAGUUUAUUCAAAAGACCUUAAAUUUUCAUUGAUACUGUAUUCAUUAGUUAUUUCUUUUGUUAAUUUUAUGCUUUUAUUCAUUAACAUUAAAUGAAUUGUGUCAUGGACUCUAAACAACCUGAUAUGGAUCAGUCGACACAUCUUGAGUGUUAAACAGAGUUAAUUAUUCAAAGCUAGUAUAUCCAGAAAAUAUUUAAAAUUUAACUAAAGGUUCAACGGACUCAUCACAUUCUUCCCUGGAAGAUUUUAUACUAGGUAAACUACAAGACACAGGAAUUCUCAAGCAUGUACAUGAUACAGUGAAUAUCUUUUCUCUUCUCCAGUUAUAGAAGCUUGAAGUAUAAUCUGGACUGAAAAUUUAAAGGUAUUUGACAUGACAUCAUCUGUUCCAAAUCAGGAAUUGUCCCUGCAAAACCCAUGAUUGAGGAACUGGACUCUGCUUGGUUAACAGGAGGAACUACAAUCAAAAUCUCAGAUUUCAAGCAGUCCUUCUCUACACCAUGGAAUCGUGACUCAGGAUUGAUUAUGGGCAACAGAAUUUCCAGUAAGUGCCAGUAAAGUGUCUCCUAUAAUCUCUUUCUGACAGGCGUUCUAAUUUCCUUUCUAUAUCUGUGCUGGGAGAUCACAAAGCAAAAAUAGCAGCAACUGCUGCCAGGUGUGUAGGCUCCAAACAGGUUUCAACCCCAGUGUUACAAACUUCUCCUGGCAACCAACUAAAUUUUCUUUUUCUUUAGGUGGAAGAAAAUCUAAAUCUGACUUUUUCUUUUUUAUAUUUUAUUUUAUUCUUUAAUCACA